UUUCUUAAGUCAAACUUUUU
rnacentral:miRNA from 1 species